GAGGAAGCACAUGUCACAUUUGUUUCAGACAACCGCAUCGGGGUCCCACAGCUCUGAUUAAAUAUAAGCGAAGGUUGUGACAGCUACAGAGGCAAGAGUGGUGGCAACCCAAGGAAUGGAAGAGCCAAUGAGGAUGACUGGAAAUGGAUGCUGUGGCAUGUACGUUAUCCUGAAGAAGUUGGAAAUGCAACAGGUUUUUGAGGGCCCUGAACUGAAUCCUCUCCAGUGUGGCUGUCUCCCUCAGUAAAGUCCAUUUAGAUUGGCUCCAUUCCAUAAAUGAACUGAGGAAAAUACUUCUUUGUUUCCACUGGGCUUUCGGCAUGAUGGGCACACAAACUGCCUAACUCCGUUUCUGUGACAAGGAGUAGGAACUCAUCAUCCAUCUUGGAGUGUUUUGUGUUAUUGAUAUUAGGGGUUCAGAUUGUACUGGAAGAGGCUAGCUUGUCUGUGGUAAUUAAUAUGCUCAUACAAUGCUUGCCAUCCUCCACAGAAUAAAGAGUGCUUUGUUCAAGAGAGCUCCCCCCACCCUCUCU